rnacentral:rRNA from 1 species
UCGACUAAGCAUGCGAGUCGAUGUAGCAUACAUGGCGUACUGCUCAGUAACACGUGGCAAUACACUAGCCCUUAGGCCUGGGAUAACCCCGGGAAACUGGGCAUAAUACCGGAUAUCUCGCGAAUGCUGGAAUGCGUCGCGAUAGAAAGCUCCGGCGCCUAAGGAUGGGUCUGCGGCCUAUCAGGGUAGUAGUGGGUGUAACGUACCUACUAGCCUACGACGGGUACNGGUUGUGAGAGCAAGAGCCCGGAGAUGGAUUCUGAGACACGAAUCCAGGCCCUACGGGGUGCAGCAGGCGCGAAAACUUUACAAUGCCGGCAACGGCGAUAAGGGGACCUCGAGUGCCAGGAUACAAUCCUGGCUGUCGUAAUGCCUAAAAAGCAUUGCAUAGC